rnacentral:rRNA from 1 species
UACGUAGGUGGCAAGCGUUGUCCGGAUUUACUGGGCGUAAAGCGCGCGCAGGUGGUUCGUAACGUCCGAGGUGAAAUCUCCCGGCUCAACUGGGAGGGGGUCUUCGGAUACGGGCGGACUUGAGGAGAGCAGAGGUGAGUGGAAUUCUGGGUGUAGUGGUGAAAUGCGUAGAUAUCCAGAGGAACACCAGUGGCGAAGGCGACUCACUGGGCUCCACCUGACACUGAGGCGCGAAAGCGUGGGGAGCGAACCGG